UAGAUGGAUGCUCUUUGGUUUGGGCGCUUAGCUGUUAACUAAGAUUUUGUAGGAUCGAAGCCUGCCCAUCUAA
rnacentral:tRNA from 1 species